AUCCAUCUGAGGAGUCCCAAACAGGACGAGACUCGCGUCCUGGUU
rnacentral:hammerhead_ribozyme from 1 species